rnacentral:rRNA from 1 species
GACGAACCGUGCGAACGUUAUUCGGAAUCACUGGGCUUAAAGCGCGUGUAGGCGGGCCGGCACGUCGGUCGUUGAAAUCCCCCGGCUCAACCGGGGAAGCGGCGCCGAUACGCCCGGCCUCGAGGGACGUAGGGGGGGCUGGAACUUCCGGUGGAGCGGUGAAAUGCGUUGAGAUCGGAAGGAACGCCCGUGGCGAAAGCGAGCCCCUGGACGUCUACUGACGCUGAGACGCGAAAGCCAGGGGAGCGAACGGG